UACGUAGGGUGCAAGCGUUGUCCGGAAUUAUUGGGCGUAAAGGGCUCGUAGGCGGUCUGUCACGUCGGGAGUGAAAACUCGGGGCUUAACCCGAGCCUGCUUCCGAUACGGGCAGACUAGAGGUAUGCAGGGGAGAAUGGAAUUCCUGGUGUAGCGGUGAAAUGCGCAGAUAUCAGGAGGAACACCGGUGGCGAAGGCGGUUCUCUGGGCAUUACCUGACGCUGAGGAGCGAAAGUGUGGGGAGCGAACAGG
rnacentral:rRNA from 1 species